GCCUCCGUGGCGCAGUGGAUUAGCGCGUUCGGCUGUUAACUGAAAGGUUGGUGGUUCGAGCCCACCCGGUGGCG
rnacentral:tRNA from 1 species